rnacentral:rRNA from 1 species
UACGUAGGGUGCAAGCGUUGUCCGGAAUUAUUGGGCGUAAAGAGCUCGUAGGCGGUCUGUCGCGUCUGCUGUGAAAUUUCGGGGCUCAACCCCGAACUUGCAGUGGGUACGGGCAGACUAGAGUGUGGUAGGGGAGACUGGAAUUCCUGGUGUAGCGGUGAAAUGCGCAGAUAUCAGGAGGAACACCGAUGGCGAAGGCAGGUCUCUGGGCCACUACUGACGCUGAGAAGCGAAAGCAUGGGGAGCGAACAGG